AUGGCUGAGUGGUUAAGUGCUUGGCUUCCAAACAAGGGUCCUGGGUUCGAAUCUCAGU
rnacentral:tRNA from 1 species